rnacentral:rRNA from 17 species
GUCGUAACAAGGUUUCCGUAGGUGAACCUGCGGAAGGAUCAUAG